rnacentral:misc_RNA from 1 species
GAUGAAGAACGUAGCGAAAUGCAAUAAGUAAUGUGAAUUGCAGAAUUCAGUGAAUCAUCGAAUCUUUGAACGCAUCUUGCGCUCCUUGGUAUUCCUUGGAGCAUGCCUGUUUGAGUAUCAUGAGCAAAUCUCAAAGUCAAUUCCUUUUGUUGAUUCAAUUGGUUUUGCUUUGGACUUGGAGGCCUUGCAGAUUUCACAGUCUGCUCCUCUUAAAUGCAUUAGCUGGAUCUCAGUAAUUAUGCUUGGUUCCACUCGGCGUGAUAAGUAUCACUCGCUGAGGACACUGUUAAAAAGGUGGCCAGGAAAAUACUGAUUGAACCGCUUCUAACGGUCUAUUAAGUUAGACAAUUACCCUUAAGUUUGAUCUCAAAUCAGGUAGGACUACCCGCUGAACUUAAGCAUAUCAAUAAGCGGAGGA